ACGUAGAUAAAGAAGCAGAAGCUGCAAUUACCUAUCAGAUCCGUAAAGCUUACCCUGACCACACUAUCAUUGGUGAA
rnacentral:tRNA from 1 species